AUCCUACGGGGCGCAGCAGUGAGGGAUAUUGGUCAAUGGGGGAAACCCUGAACCAGCAACGCCGCGUGCAGGAAGAAGGUCUUCGGAUUGUAAACUGUUGUCGCAGGGGAAGAAGACAGUGACGGUACCCUGUGAGAAAGUCACGGCUAACUACGUGCCAGCAGCCGCGGUAAUACGUAGGUGACGAGCGUUGUCCGGAUUUACUGGGUGUAAAGGGCGCGUAGGCGGAUGUGCAAGUCAGUCGUGAAAUACCGGGGCUCAACCCCGGGGCUGCGAUUGAAACUGCACACCUUGAGUAUCGGAGG
rnacentral:rRNA from 1 species